UUAGCAUUCAGAAGUGAGAAUGUUGACAUGAGUAGCGAUAAAGAGUGUGAGAGACACUCUCGCCGAAAGUCCAAGGGUUCCUGCUUAAAGCUAAUCUGAGCAGGGUGAGCCGACCCCUAAGGCGAGGCCGAAAGGCGUAGUCGAUGGGAACCAGGUUAAUAUUCCUGGGCCAGGAGGAAGUGACGGAUCGCAAAGCUUGUUCGACCUUAUCGGAUUGGUCGGGCCUGUCAGCGGUUCCUGGAAAUAGCCCUCCAUGAGAUCGUACCCUAAACCGACACAGGUGGACUGGUAGAGCAUACCAAGGCGCUUGAGAGAACUGCGUUGAAGGAACUCGGCAAAAUGCCUCCGUAACUUCGGGAGAAGGAGGCCCCGUCCGUGGGCAACCAUGGGCGGGGGGCACAAACUAGGGGGUGGCGACUGUUUACUAAAAACACAGGACUCUGCGAAGCCCAAAGGCGACGUAUAGGGUCUGACGCCUGCCCGGUGCUGGAAGGUUAAAGGGAGGGGUGCAAGCUCCGAACUGAAGCCCCAGUAAACGGCGGCCGUAACGAUAACGGUCCUAAGGUAGCGAAAUUCCUUGUCGGGUAAGUUCCGACCUGCACGAAUGGCGUAACGACUUCCCCGCUGUCUCCAACGCAGACUCAGCGAAAUUGAACUCCCCGUGAAGAUGCGGGGUUCCCGCGGUCAGACGGAAAGACUCCGUGCACCUUUACUACAGCUUCACACUGGCAUCAGGCCAGGCAUGUGCAGGAUAGGUGGCAGGCUUUGAAGCGGGGACGCCAGUUCCCGUGGAGCCGUCCUUGAGAUAUCACCCUUGCCUUGCCUGAUGUCUAACCGCGGACCGUCAUCCGGUUCCGGGACCCUGUGUGGCGGGUAGUUUGACUGGGGCGGUCGCCUCCCAAAUAGUAACGGAGGCGCGCGAUGGUGGGCUCAGGUUGGUCGGAAAUCAACCGUCGAGUGCAAUGGCAUAAGCCCGCCUGACUGCGAGACUGACAAGUCGAGCAGAGACGAAAGUCGGCCAUAGUGAUCCGGUGGUCCCGUGUGGAAGGGCCAUCGCUCAACGGAUAAAAGGUACGCCGGGGAUAAUAGGCUGAUACUGCCCAAGAGUCCAUAUCGACGGCAGUGUUUGGCACCUCGAUGUCGGCUCAUCACAUCCUGGGGCUGGAGAAGGUCCCAAGGGUACGGCUGUUCGCCGUUUAAAGUGGUACGUGAGCUGGGUUUAGAACGUCGUGAGACAGUUCGGUCCCUAUCUGCCGUGGGUGUCGGAGACUUGAGAGGAGUUGCCCCUAGUACGAGAGGACCGGGGUGAACGUUCCACUGGUGGACCUGUUGUCGUGCCAACGGCAGUGCAGGGUAGCUAUGAACGGACAGGAUAACCGCUGAAGGCAUCUAAGCGGGAAGCCCCCCUCAAAACCAGGUCUCCCUUGAGGGCCGUGGAAGACCACCACGUCGAUAGGCCGGAGGUGUAAGCGCAGCAAUGCGUUCAGCUGACCGGUACUAAUCGCCC
rnacentral:rRNA from 1 species